CGGAAUUACUGGGCGUAAAGCGUACGUAGGCGGAUUCGCAAGUCGGGCGUGAAAUCCCUGGGCUCAACCCAGGAACUGCGUUCGAAACUGCGUAUCUCGAGUGAUGGAGAGGGAAUCGGAAUUCUCGGUGUAGAGGUGAAAUUCGUAGAUAUCAGGAGGAACACCAGUGGCGAAGGCGACUUCCUGGAUCAAUACUGACGCUGAGGCGCGAAGGCAUGGGUAGCGAACAGGAUUAGAUACCCUGGUAGUCCAUGCAGUAAACGAUGAUCACUAGGCGUAGCAGAUAUUUAUACUUGCUGUGUCGUAGCUAACGUAUUAAGUGAUCCGCCUGGGGAGUACGAACGCAAGUUUAAAACUCAAAGGAAUUGACGGGGCU
rnacentral:rRNA from 1 species